GUAGGUGGCAAGCGUUGUCCGGAAUUAUUGGGCGUAAAGCGCGCGCAGGCGGUUCUUUAAGUCUGAUGUGAAAGCCCACGGCUCAACCGUGGAGGGUCAUUGGAAACUGGAGAACUUGAGUACAGAAGAGGAAAGCGGAAUUCCACGUGUAGCGGUGAAAUGCGUAGAGAUGUGGAGGAACACCAGUGGCGAAGGCGGCUUUCUGGUCUGUAACUGACGCUGAGGCGCGAAAGCGUGGGGAGCAAACAGGAUUAGAUACCCUGGUAGUCCACGCCGUAAACGAUGAGUGCUAAGUGUAGGGGGUUUUCGCCCCCCUUAGUGCUGCAGCUAACGCAUUAAGCAUCCGCCUGGGAGUACGGCCGCAAGGCUG
rnacentral:rRNA from 1 species